rnacentral:rRNA from 1 species
GAUGAACGCUGGCGGCGUGCCUAAUACAUGCAAGUAGAACGCUGAAGGAAGGAGCUUGCUCUUUCCGGAUGAGUUGCGAACGGGUGAGUAACGCGUAGGUAACCUGCCUGGUAGCGGGGGAUAACUAUUGGAAACGAUAGCUAAUACCGCAUAACAGUAGAUGUUGCAUGAUAUCUACUUAAAAGGUGCAAUUGCACCACUACCAGAUGGACCUGCGUUGUAUUAGCUAGUUGGUGAGGUAACGGCUCACCAAGGCGACGAUACAUAGCCGACCUGAGAGGGUGAUCGGCCACACUGGGACUGAGACACGGCCCAGACUCCUACGGGAGGCAGCAGUAGGGAAUCUUCGGCAAUGGACGGAAGUCUGAACGAGCAACGCCGCGUGAGGGAAGAAGGUUUUCGGAUCGUAAAGCUCUGUUGUAAGAGAAGAACGAGUGUGAGAGUGGAAAGUUCACACUGUGACGGUAUCUUACCAGAAAGGGACGGCUAACUACGUG